UACGUAGGCAGCAAGCGUUGUUCGGAAUUACUGGGCGUAAAGAGUACGUAGGUGGUUUGCUAAGUCCGAUGUGAAAUCUCCCGGCUUAACUGGGAGGGUGCGUUAGAUACUGGCAGGCUUGAGUGUGGGAGAGGAAAGCGGAAUUCCUGGUGUAGCGGUGAAAUGCGUAGAUAUCAGGAGGAACGCCUGUGGUGUAGACGGCUUUCUGGACCAUUACUGACACUGAGGUACGAAAGCGUGGGUAGCAAAC
rnacentral:rRNA from 1 species